rnacentral:rRNA from 1 species
CAGUCGCCGCGGUAACACGUAGGUGGGAAGCGUUGUCCGGAAUUAUUGGGCGUAAAGGGCUCGCAGGCGGUUUCUUAAGUCUGAUGUGAAAGCCCCCGGCUCAACCGGGGAGGGUCAUUGGAAACUGGGAAACUUGAGUGCAGAAGAGGAGAGUGGAAUUCCACGUGUAGCGGUGAAAUGCGUAGAGAUGUGGAGGAACACCAGUGGCGAAGGCGACUCUCUGGUCUGUAACUGACGCUGAGGAGCGAAAGCGUGGGGAGCGAACAGGAUUAGAUACCCCUGUAGUCCCUGUCUCUUAUAC